rnacentral:misc_RNA from 1 species
AAAGUAUUAGAGAGAGAAAGUGUAGAGAGAGAAUGAAAGAAGGGAAAAGGAAAAGCUCAAGGCUUCAGUCGGAAGCCGCCGGAGCGGGGAGUAGCCGCAAGUUGGAUUUGGACGGAGUAGCUGCUGAGCGUCAAGAGAGGAAUGGAUAUCCUGAAGAUGCCGGCAGCAAAUGCGAGGAGGAACCGUUGGCCGGAGAAGGAGAAGGAGAAGG